CAGACAUUUCUGUUUAAGUUAUGUAUUCAAGGUUUGUUUAGUUAUGUGUUCAAGGUUUUGUUCUGUUCUCACACUUAAGUACAACAUUUAGUGGACUCAACAAAACCUAAACAUUUAUCCGUUCCUCUUGCCAAAAUGUUAUUUAUUAAAGUACAGGGAAAAUAAAUGUUUCAAAUUGUAUUAGGCUCUUUACAAGAUGGCCGUAUCAGUUUAUAGUCACUUUACAAGAUGGCCACAUCAGUUCAUAGCAACCUUUAGGGAUUUUUUCAUCCAUUUCACUUUGCUACAAGUUUUCAUUGAGCUGUUUAAGAAAUUGUGAAUCAAGUGUUUGUUUUCAGGAUCAUCAUUUGUAUGUUCGUUGUCACUUGAACUAAAGAAUGUUUAAUUUAUUGGAGAUCAUUCAAAGUACUCCUAGAGUCUGAGAGUACAUUCACUGUACAUAGUUAUGUGUGUUUUAUUUUAGUUCACUAAUGACUAGUGGGAGAUAAGGUAUGACAGGUUAAGGAAUUUAAUCUGAGGUUGAUGACUUAAUUUUUUUUAAUUUUUUUUUUUUUGCUUGAUAUAUUUGCAUUCUGAUCAUUAAUUUUGGUGUUUUCAAUUAAUAAUAACUUGAACUUAUAACCAUAUGAUCAUGCUUUCUCAUAAUUUGUUAUACUGGUGAUUUUUAUGGUUUGCAAAACCAUAAUUCAUUCAUCUGAGUGAAUUAUUGCCCUUUGAUUCUAAUUCUGAACUAUUUUCCAUCUUGGCUAUUUAAUUUCAUGUAUUCAUUAGUUUUUCCUUUCUCAAUAUUUUACUGUCAUUUCCU